rnacentral:tmRNA from 1 species
GGGGGCGACCGGUUUCGACGGGGCAAGAUAAUGAUAAGAUUGCAUGCAGAGGUUCGGGAUCCUCUUUAAUAACCCCGGAAUAUCGAUAAAUGCCGAUUACGGCUACAUGGCAGCUGCUUAAUUAGCUCUGCCCGCUCUAGAUUGAAUUUGUCUGUGGUUUAAUCUAAGAGCGUCAUAAACGCAGGCUGGUCCCUGGAUUUGUUUACUAGAAAGGGAUAAGAUACUUUGUAAACUGGUUGAUAUAAUGGUUGUUAUUUGUCCGCUAUAUNAAUGAGAAAAAAAUCAGAUAACUAAGUAUGUAGACGUUUUAUUAGCAUCUGUCUCGGACGGGAGUUCGAAUCUCCCCGCCUCCACAU